GACGUAGGGCGCGAGCGUUGUCCGGAUUUAUUGGGCGUAAAGAGCUCGUAGGCGGUGUGUCGCGUCGGCCGUGAAAACCUGGGGCUUAACUCUGGGCGUGCGGUCGAUACGGGCAUCACUAGAGUUCGGCAGGGGAGACUGGAAUUCCUGGUGUAGCGGUGAAAUGCGCAGAUAUCAGGAGGAACACCGGUGGCGAAGGCGGGUCUCUGGGCAACAACUGACGCUGAGGAGCGAAAGCGUGGGGAGCGAACAGG
rnacentral:rRNA from 1 species